AAGGCUGUUCUGGAACUCCUGAGCUCAAACAGUCCUCCCACCUUGGCCCCCCAAAGUGCUGAGAUUACAGGUGUGAGCCACCACACCCGGCCUGGACUACCAAUCUUGAUGGCAACAUUAGACUGGGGGCCACUGUAGUCAUAACAGUGGUGGACCAGGCAGCAGAGUCUUGUCUUCAGUACCAUGGACACCGCAGCAUCCAGUGCUAGCAGCAAUCAGCCAUGACUGCCUUUGCACUGUCCAUGCUCUCAGCCCACCACCUCCUCCCCCUGCCAUUGCAGUGGCUAACACUGGAGACGAAGACCAAGACACCACAGCCUUUCUCCAGUACCUCUCAAAUCAGCACAGACAAGGACAAAGGCCUCAAUCCACAACUGCUGAAGAUGGACCCUGGCCACAUGGGAUGGUCAGACACGCCUGCCCAGCUAUCUGCAGGCGAAGAGGCUCAGAAGAGGUUUAGGGGCCUGAAGGACAUCUUGCUUCCAUGUCCAUAUGAGCAGGCUAUUUCUGCUCCAUGAGUCAAUUUUGCCAUAUAAAAUACUUAAUUUCAGCCAUUCCAGGGUGCUAUAGGAUGCACAGCUUCCCAUCAGCCCACCUGAACUCCAGCCAUGCCAUUUUAAUACCAGGAAUAAGGUCACCUGCUUUCCUGCCCCUUAGGAGGCCGGAGCCGUGGAAGCAAAAUGGCACUUCUGUUUACCUGUUAUAUUAUUUUUUUGUCAUCCUUAUAUGUUUGAAAAAUGCAAUUAUAUGAAAAAAGUUUAGUAAUUACAGACAUAACAGCAGAAAGUCCUCGGAACCAAGCUUAUUCUCAUGGCCGAUUCUGCUCCACCUGGGACUCUGCUGUGCUGCGGGCAUCCUGUGGUCAGAAUCGCAGAGGGGCCAUCAGGGAGGACCUUCCCAGAGGAUGGACCUCACGUGACUGCUGCGUGGGCAAGUGGCACUGGCCACUCUGCCUGGAGAGAGGAGUAAAUGCAGGGCUGGCCAGGCGACCUGCACACUCUG
ensembl:lncRNA LINC00654 long intergenic non-protein coding RNA 654